CGCUCCAUUCAAAGUUCGGGCAGCAAAUUACUUGGGCCAAGGGAAUGCAAACUGUCAACGCAUUGCAAUAAGUUUGUUCGUUUGGCUUAAGUUAUUUUCAUGCCCAACAUAACGCCACGUGGU
rnacentral:pre_miRNA from 1 species